AUUGAACGCUGGCGGCGUGCUUAACACAUGCAAGUCGAUCGGUAACAGGUGUAGCAAUACAUGCUGACGAGAGGCGGACGGGUGAGUAAUGCUUGGGAAUCUGCCUAUUAGUGGGGGACAACCCGGGGAAACGUCGGGCUAAUACCGCAUACGCUCUACGGAGGAAAGCCGGGGACCGCAAGGCCUGGCGCUAAUAGAUGAGCCCAAGUCGGAUUAGCUAGUUGGUAGGGUAACGGCCUACCAAGGCGACAAUCCGUAGCUGGUCUGAGAGGACGACCAGCCACACCGGAACUGAGACACGGUCCGGACUCCUACGGGAGGCAGCAGUGGGGAAUAUUGGACAAUGGGGGCGAACCCUGAUCCAGCGACGCCGCGUGGGUGAAGAAGGCCUGCGGGUUGUAAAGCCCUUUCGGUGGGGAAGAAAAGUCUCGACCUAAUACGUCGGGACCUUGACGUAACCCACUAAAGAAGCACCGGCUAACUCUGUGCCAGCCGCCGCGGUAAC
rnacentral:rRNA from 1 species